AAGCAAGACUUUGUCUUGCUUUCAUCAGUGCAUGGACAUUUGAGCUCUUUCAACUUUUUGGCUAUGAUGAACAUGUUUGGAAUGCUAUGAACAUUUAUGCACAAGUUCUGGUUAUGGAGAAGAAAACUAAGACACACAGAGGAAAUGAAUAUUUCCAUAAGGAAUAAAUAAUAAAGAUGUGAGAGAAUUCAACUGAUCAAUGUGUUUCCAGAAGGUUGGUUAUGCUCCAUUGGUCAGAACAACAACACUUGAGGAAUUGUUUCCUCUGUCAUGCCAUAUACCUGAUGCAGAAGAGAAUGUAACAGUAUGGAAAAUGCUUCUGAUAUGAUUGUAAGUGAAAAAAAUAAACUCCAAGCAGAAAGCCCUAAAGGCCCUGUCCUGACCCCCUGUUCCCUCCCUUACUUCACUUCCUAUGACUUUCCUUACUGUUCCCUGCAUUCCAGCCCCAUUGACCUCCUAGGCAUGUCCCUGCCCAGGGACCUCACAUUGGCUCUGGCCCUUGUCUAGACCUCUCUUUCCCUAGAUAUCCAUGUGACUAACUACUUCUUCUCUUUUGAGAUUGUUUCUAGUGUCAGGAUCUCACGUAGGUCUACUCUUUUAUCCUAUUUAAACUUUCAAUGCCCUUCCCCAAACUCCGAGCACACCUUUCCCCUGCCAUAUUUUCUCUAAUUUUUUAACUAUAGUAUGGCAAAACUUUCUAAUAUCAACAUACUUUACUUCUCUCUCUCUCUCUGUUGGGAUCUCACUAUGUUGCUUAGGUUCCCGGCUUGAACUGA
rnacentral:lncRNA from 1 species